rnacentral:miRNA from 1 species
CUCAGUAAGAUUAGAAUUUCAGGUAAGUAAUAAAUCAUUUUUAGUGUUAGUGUGCUCCAUGCAAUAUUUGGGAGAUACUUAUGCUAAAAAUUAUUUGUUGUUUAUCUGAAAUUCUAAUUUCACUGGACAUCCUCUAGUUU